rnacentral:rRNA from 1 species
UACGUAGGGGGCAAGCGUUGUCCGGAAUCAUUGGGCGUAAAGAGCGUGUAGGCGGCCAGAUAAGUCCGCUGUGAAAUCUCGAGGCUCAACUUCGAGCUGUCGGUGGAAACUGUCUGGCUAGAGUCCGGAAGAGGAGAAUGGAAUUCCUGGUGUAGCGGUGAAGUGCGCAGAUAUCAGGAAGAACACCCGUGGCGAAGGCGGUUCUCUGGGACGGUACUGACGCUGAGACGCGAAAGCGUGGGAGCGAACAGG